AGAGAGAGCAAUUAUACAGGUUGGAAAACAAUGCCAUAUUCGUGUUGGCUGUGGGAUGCGUGAGUUGUCUCCCUUGAUACUCUGUUAAAUAAGCGAUGGUUCACUGCCUGCCCAACUGCCGGUGGAGCUCGGGCUGAUUUGUUACACCUUCUCACCGGGGAGAAAGAUGGGAAGCGAUGUGUAGCCGGCGUCCGUUAUCUGCUGCCAGUACCCACGUCCGAAUCGCAAGAUCUAUAUUUAUCUGAAGAAUACAACAUAUUAUACUGCUAUGUUUAAUGCUGUCAUGUGUUUAUUCAGUUGCUAUGCUCGUACAGAAAAUUGUCUAUGAAAAGGAGAAAAGAUUAAGAGUUACAGGUAAUGAAGAUGAUGGGCUUAUCACAAAGUGUAAACUAGUGGGCGUGGUUUAUAACUGCCGCGGUACAGAUGACUGUUACCGUGGUAACGCUGACGUUGAUGUUAUACUAUGGACGUGUACUAUCUCAUAGUAAUCCAGUCAUAGUGUUUAUGUUCCUGGAAAUGUUUGCCCUGUCUUCUAUUGCUUUUUCGUUUUUAAUUGACAGUAUGUUCUCUCGGGCUAAACUUGCUGCAGCAAUUGUGCGGGCAAUAUUUCCAACAUCAGCUCUGGGUCUUAGGUGGGAAGUAUUUCCUGUUUUAUGAGUUAGAGGGAUCAUGCGUACAGUGGGAGAACCUGCAUGUGUCGCCACGGGAACAUGAUAAUUUUAGUCUACAGAUUGUGUUGAUAAUGAUAGCAGUGGACACAGUUAUUUACUUUAUACUGGCCUGGUAUAUAGACAAUGUUCAUCUAGGAUCUUAUGGUAUACCAAAGCCAUGGUAUUUUCCAUUCACAAGCUCUUACUGGUGUGGAACAUCACUUUGGGAAACAUGUUGUCUUAAACGUUUGUUCGGAAUUAAUCGUAGUAGACGUCCUUACUAUCUCGUCAAUGAUGAUCUUUGGUUUUAUUCACGUUUGUGUUCCAGCUAGAGAUAUACAAGAUAAUAUUCCAAGAAUAUUGACAGACCUCAGUCUAGCGAACAAAGGGGAUCACACCCAGAGGCAAUCUCUGGCGGCAUGCAGAGAAAACUUUCUAUAGCUAUAGCAUUUGUUGGAGGAUCGCGCACAGUGAUCUUGAACGAGCCUACUGCCAGUGUCGACCCCUACUCACGUAGAGCCAUCUGGAA